CGAAACAUGCAGGCUGAAGAGCAAGUUCAUCAAGCUCUUGCAAAACAAGGCAUCCUCUAGGAAUAGGAAGAAAAGCAAAUUAAAAGAAAAGAAGUAAACACCAAGAGUGGCAAAGAACACAGGUUUAAGAAGGUUGAAGGCACCAAAGAUCAACACAGGAUUCUUUCUGUGGUGUUUCACUCUACCCUGAACAAACAAAACAAAAGCAGUAUGUUCUUGCCCUGUAUGGCUGCAUGUAAGUAUGCUGUGGUAGACGCAUUACACAGGAAAGAAUACAUCUUAUAGGUCUUAUAUUAACUCAGGUGUAUAAUUAAACACAUUAUGUAAAAUAAGCUCAAUUUCAAGAGGACAUUUAGAUAUACACUUUUAUGAUGCAAUAAUCCUUGCCUUCUGAGGAAUGCUAAAUGGGAUUAAGUUAGCGGUACUAGUACCUGAGGAGAGGAGGGCUCCAGUAACUUGGACAAACUGGUAAGAACCGUGACUAGCAGGAGGGCUUCUUUGCUAUUAAAAUCUUCCUCUUGACUGCUAAGUAAAUUCAACAAGGACCUCUGAGAAAGGAAGGCACACACAGCAAGCAAUGUUAGCAGACACGUUCCUAUCAGGAAGAAGAGGCAUCUAGUCAGAGACUCCUAAGACUAGGACAGAAAGAAUUCAAAGCUACCAAAAUUCUAAGAGGAUAAAAUCUGAAAAUACACCUGAAUUGAGCAGUAGUUUCCUAAGCUGUUUUUGACCAUAAACCUCUCUGAGAAUGCUCCUGAAAACUGACUCUUUCCGUUCCAACCCCAUGCAAAAUGUAGAUAAUGAACUAUGUACCCAAUUUCUGGUGGCUCACAGCUCCCUGGAGCCUAUCCAUUGAUCUCAGGCUUAGACAAGGCACCAAACCCAGCAAUGCUUAUAUACCUUCCCUGUUACCUGAAAUAACUAUGUAUUUGAUUAUUUGUCAGUGUCUUUCUACUAUAAUGUAAGCUCCAUAAGGAUAGGAAUAUUUUGUCUCUUUUGUUCCCUGCUACAUCCCCAGCACCUAGAACUGUUUCUGGCACAUGGUAGGAACUUCAGAAUUACUUGUUAAAUAAAAAACUCCUGUGAUAGAACAUCCUGA